GGAGAGGUGCCGGAGCGGCUGAACGGGCAUGAUUGGAAAUCAUGUAAUGGGGCAACUCAUUCGGGGGUUCGAAUCCCCCUCUCUCCU
rnacentral:tRNA from 1 species